rnacentral:rRNA from 1 species
UACGUAGGGGGCUAGCGUUGUCCGGAAUCAUUGGGCGUAAAGAGCGUGUAGGCGGCCCGGUAAGUCCGCUGUGAAAGUCGGGGGCUCAACCCUCGAAUGCCGGUGGAUACUGUCGGGCUAGAGUGCGGAAGAGGCGAGUGGAAUUCCUGGUGUAGCGGUGGAAUGCGCAGAUAUCAGGAGGAACACCAAUAGCGAAGGCAGCUCGCUGGGACGGUACUGACGCUAAGGCGCGAAAGCGUGGGGAGCGAACGAGG